rnacentral:tRNA from 1 species
CCUGGUGGCUCAGAUGGUAAAGAGUCUGCCUGCAAUGCAGAAGACCAGGGUUCAAUCCCUGGGUCAGGA